CUCGACGCUCUUUCCUCUCUCCUAUGUUCUGCAGUUCAUCACGCGAAGGCUCUUUUCCUUUCGUCGAUUCUCGCAGCAUCCCCUCUCGCCGAUUCUCGCAGCAUCGCCUCCACUCUCACCGCCUCUUUUUCUCUCCUCUCUCUUCUACCUGAACGGCGUGAUUGGGGUCGGACCGGCGUUGUUUGAUGAUGCGAUAGCUCCUGGUUUUUCAGAUACAAGGAGAGAGCGACUGAAGUCGUUUCUUAGGCUGGCCACGUUCAACCUCUCUCGUGAAGUCAACAAGAUGCAAGAGCCAGUGUUGAAGCGGCAUUAGUUAGAAACACACUUGAGAAGCAGAAGACAACAACCCACUUGCUCGCCUACCUCAUGUGAUGGUGAUGUAGUGGAACGUCCCCAUAAAAAGAUAAACAUAUUUUCUUCCUCUUCCUCAGUGAGCAUUUCUGAACACGAGAGUCAUGAUCGACUUCAACCAAGUGAAAAUGGUUCUGCUGGUAAAAACAACGAAUCAAAAUUUUCCCAAACAGAUUUGGUAGAAAAGGAUAAAGUUUGUGCUAUUGAGACAAGGUCUGCUCCAUGCCAAAGGCCACAAACAUCCAAGGCCAAUGACCCGUAGAGAAAAGAUACAGCUUCAGAAACUAAUUCAGAACCUACCGUGAGACAAUCUUGUACGAGUGGUGGGAAUUCUCGUUGGUGAAUGGGUUGGAUCGAUGGCGAUCCCCCUCUACACAGUAUUACAGCCACCAAUUGCAGAGUCCGGUAUAGACUUUUUGAUGCGGAAUUACGAAUUACUACUGGGACAAUACUUUCAAUCUUUCGAGUUUGAUUCAAAGGGAUUACUGUAAUUGUACCAGGUCAUACGUGCAUGAUGCAGCACGAAGCGCAAUGUCUCUGAGCAUAGUUUUGAAGACUUUAUCUUGAGACUAGCAAUGCUAGUAAACUAAGCUGUAUAAAUAAAUCGAUGUUUCAAA